AGGAGCUGGAGGAGAGGAAGCAUUGCUGAAUCCUGAGGGAAGGGUGAAGCUAAGAAAAGGGGACCACAGGGAAGUGGCCCAGGGAAUCAAAGUAGUGUCAGUGGUGAGGGGAAAACCGCCAACAGCUGCUACCAUUAGGAUCCCUGGGCUGGAACCCAGCAUAGGGGGUGGGCCCAGGUUCCCCCCUCCCCGCCAUGCUUUACAGAGAUCCCCUUGAGAGGGGAAGCAGACUUUCCUCCAAACAGGAGCCCAAACUGCACCUACUGAGCUCUAAGGAGCAACAGAGACUGAGUAUUCCACCUUCCCACCUCCCAUACUGGCCUGUGAUGAAAGAAGCUCAAUAAGCUGUGACCUUUGCUGCUAUACUGAAAAAGGGAGGUCAUAUUGAGGUCAUUAGCAAGCUUCUGAGGCCACUGAAUCCGCCUGGAAGUGUGGGAUCCACCAAUACAGGCUUGGUAGCUUUGUCAUAGUAUGUACAGUCCGUGCUGUUGCAGCUACACUGCUAUUUUUAGCAAUGCUGGAGUGAGCAGAGUAGGGGACAGCCUGAGAACAUGUACAUGGAGUAUAGUCUUGAAGCCUUGGCUGAUGCCAUCUGCGUGGGUUCCCAGAAACAAAAGGGGAGCUGCUCCUGGGGAAGAAGUGAGAAGCAAACCUCAAAAGUUCAGCAGUUAGCUGUUGUCCCACCCAAAGUUAUCAGGUCAUUCAAGCCGCGGACUAAGAAGGAGUGGGACAUCAGGCUCCGCACUCUCCUUAUGGAAUCGGCACUGGCCCUAACUCCAGCACGCCGAGUGGACUCGGCGCCCGGUAUCGCGUUUUUGGUGCGCGGUGAAGUCCCCUCCUCCAGCCGGCACCGCUCCCCCUCCAAGAAGCAGGGGAAGAGCUCCGCCUUGCAGUGGCGCCGAGGGAAGGAAAAGGAAGAGGCUGGUCCCGUGUCGGGCAGCCCUUGAUUUCCCCGCCCCGCCCCCCGGGCCCGAGGCCUCCAACUUGUGAUGAGUGGAGCAGCCCAGCACCGUUUGCGCGUGCGUCUCCAGCAGUCAGGAUGCCAUCGACACCAGAGGCUCUCCAGGCUGCGCGAGACAUUUUGAGUUUGCUGGUACCAGGGGCGCCACUGAUGACAGGCCCUCGGUCCCGCGGCAAGCCGCCACUGGGUGCUCACCAGACCUCCCCAGCGCGGCGCAGCUUCCACUCUGAGGACCGCUCCUUGCCUUGUUCGACGUGCAGUGGCCAGUCAUCUCACAGCCCACGCCCGCCCUUGACGCCAGUCAGGCUAACCGGUUCGCCGCCUGGGCAGGAGUCUCGAGGUCCCUCCAUGUUGCGCAGUAGUGGACACAGGUGCUGUAGACGCUCCUCCUCGCAUCGCAGCUGUCGCAUCCAGUCCUGACACCAUCGAUGUCGACGCUUCCGUUUGAGUUCCUGCUCUGCCAGACAUCACAGUCGGGACUCUCCUUGCGAUUCACCGGCACCAGAGCAUCGCAGCCCCAGGCUCCGGGGCGAGUACCGGAGCAGCACUUUCGACGGGUACCAAUCCUGGACGUCGAGGUCCCGGUUCCGCGGAAGAUGACAUCGCAGGCACCAUCACUCCUGCCGCUCCUAUGGGACCGUGCGUUCGACGGUGACCUCAGCCUCGGCACCCAACCGCCCAUCACCGGGUCGUGGGGCUCAGCCGGACCAGCUGGCACCGCCAGGGCCCCAACUUGGACAGUGGCAAGGGGCCCCGUGGCAGGGGCAGUAGUGCCAAUGGGCAUUGUGGCCACAGAUGCUCACCCAGACGGGAACCUGUUCGGUGGCUGGGGCAUCCCAGGCCCCAUUGGCCUCUCCAUCUCAGCCGAGGGACAAGUCAACAAGUCACGAGUCGGCGGCCCCUCGCCCGGACUCCGACCUGGGGGUUGAUUCCUCAGUACUGCCAGAGGCCCAUGUUUCCAGGCCAGCCCUCUCUCCGGCACUGGACGACGCCAUAGCAGCACCUCUGCCCGUUAUGCCACAGGAGGAUUUCAAGGUGCAUCAAGACCUGUUAAAGGGGGUGGCGUCCAACCUCCAGCUGCAGGCUGAGGAGACAGAGGGCCCAUCUGACACACUCUUUAAUGUGCUGUUGUCCUCGGCACUGGGCCGUAUGGCCCUACUCCUCCACCAGGGAAUAGCCAACAUUUCCAACACCUUGUGUCAAACUCCCUCUUCCUUGGCCCCUAUUUCCAAGAAGGCUGAGAGGAAGUACUUUGUGCUGGCUAAGGACCACAAGUACCUCUAUUCCCACCCAGCACCUAAUUCUCUUGUGUUGGAAUCGGUUAACCACCUGGAACGACAGGGCCAGCCCGCACCCACCCCCAAAAACAAAGACUCCAGGAGACUGGACUCCUUUGGUAGAAAGGUUUAUUCCUCUGCAAGUUUCCAGCUCAGGGUGGCCAAUCAUCAGGCCCUACUGAGCUGAUAUGACUUUAGCUUAUGAGGGUCUCUGCCAAAGUUUGAACCACUCCUCCCGGAGCAGCAGAGGAAGGACUUCAAGGGUCUGGUGGAGGAAGGGGUGGUGGUGGCCAAAGCAUCCCUCCAAGCAGCGGCCGAUACGGCAGCCCGUUCAAUGGUUUCCGCCAUAUCCAUGCUCAGGGCAUCAUGGCUGCUCCUGUCCGGGCUGUCGGCGGAGGCCCAG